AACGAACGCUGGCGGCAUGCCUAACACAUGCAAGUCGAACGAGACCUUCGGGUCUAGUGGCGCACGGGUGCGUAACGCGUGGGAACCUUCCCUUAGGUUCGGAAUAACUCCCCGAAAGGGGUGCUAAUACCGGAUAAUGUCUUCGGACCAAAGAUUUAUCGCCGUUGGAUGGGCCCGCGUUGGAUUAGCUAGUUGGUAGGGUAAAAGCCUACCAAGGCGACGAUCUAUAGCUGGUCUGAGAGGAUGAUCAGCCACACUGGGACUGAGACACGGCCCAGACUCCUACGGGAGGCAGCAGUGGGGAAUAGUGGACAAGGGGCGAAAGCCUGAUCCAGCAAUGCCGCGUGAGUGAUGAAGGCCUUAGGGUUGUAAAGCUCUUUUACCCGGGAUGAUAAUGACAGUACCGGGAGAAUAAGCUCCGGCUAACUCCGUG
rnacentral:rRNA from 1 species